UUCAUGUGCAAUAUCCGAAAACCCUCUCUUGGGGCCUGGAUCAGGACCCCUUUCCUAUAACAUCUUUCUGGCGACAACAAAGGGACAAUGGUGUGGAAUCCCCCUUCCCAAAUGCUACUUUUAGAUAUCACCUUUUGUCGGAACUUGGAGUUGGUAAUGACCUUCACCAUACCACCACUCUGGGACUGAGCUUCUCUCUACCCUGAUGCAAGAGACCCUAAUAGGCAGGAAUAUGACCACCCCUAUUCAGCCUGAAGAAGUUACAGAAGUUCUGAAACCCUUAGAAAUGAGGGUCUUCUUGUAAAGGGAGUGGGGAGAUAUAUCAGAGGCAUUUGAACCAGAGCAACUCCAUCUUGAGUGAGGGCUAGGAAAAUGAGGCUAGGACUUGCUGGGCUGCAUUCUCAGAAAGUCAGUCAUUCCUAGCCUCUAGAUGUUUACGGUUAAGGGAACAAAUUUAUAACAUUUACUAAACACA
rnacentral:lncRNA from 10 species